UUGACCUCAAAUCAGGUAGGACUACCCGCUGAACUUAAGCAUAUCAAUAAGCGGAGGAAAAGAAACUAACAAGGAUUCCCCUAGUAACUGCGAGUGAAGCGGGAAAAGCUCAAAUUUGAAAUCUGGCGGUUCUUGACCGUCCGAGUUGUAAUCUAGAGAAGUGUUACCUGUGCUGGACCGUGUACAAGUCUUCUGGAAUGGAGCAUCAUAGAGGGUGAGAAUCCCGUCUUUGACACGGACUACCUGUACAUUGUGGUGCGCUCUCGAAGAGUCGAGUUGUUUGGGAAUGCAGCUCAAAAUGGGUGGUAAAUGCCAUCUAAAGCUAAAUAUUGGCGAGAGACCGAUAGCGAACAAGUACCGUGAGGGAAAGAUGAAAAGAACUUUGGAAAGAGAGUUAAACAGUACGUGAAAUUGCUGAAAGGGAAACGCUUGAAGUCAGUCGCGUCGGCUAGAAAUCAACCUUGCUUUUGCUUGGUGUAUUUUCUGGUCUUUGACGGGUCAGCAUCAAUUUUGACCGCUGGAUAAAGUCUUUGGGAAUGUGGCAUCUUAGGAUGUGUUAUAGCCCAUUGUCGCAUACUGCGGUUGGGAUUGAGGAACUCAGCACGCCGCAAGGCCAGGUUUCGACCAUGUUUUGUGCUUAGGAUGCUGGCAUAAUGGCUUUAAUCGACCCGUC
rnacentral:rRNA from 7 species